rnacentral:lncRNA from 1 species
AAAAUGAAAAAUACAAGAACUUAUAUAAUCAAGUUAAAUUUAGUAAAAAAAGAAAAGAAUCCAAUUUCGUAUGCUUUCUUUUCCAAUAAUAAUUAGUAGCAUCCCAAAUUACAAAAUAAAAAGACUAUACUGUUAACCAAAUCUACCUUUUCUUCUUCUUCUUCUUUACCGUUCUGGGCCACCACGAAAAAGAACAAGUUGUGUUUCUUCUCCUCUUGGGACCCCUUUUAUAUAGCCAAGAAAGAAUCAUCACCACCCCUUCAUUUACAGUUGCGCUCACCGAUCUCGCACGUUAAUCCCGCGUGCGUGAUCUCCUCCUCGUAUUUCCUUUCCAUCUGCCGCCAACCCUCUGUUUCUCUCCUCUUCCUUUUCAGUUCUGCAGAAACUCUAGGUGUCUUUUUUCUUCGUUUCACAAUGUUUU